rnacentral:rRNA from 1 species
UACCGGUGGCGAAGGCGGCCCCCUUGGACAAAGACUGACGCUCAGGUGCGAAAGCGUGGGGAGCAAACAGGAUUAGAUACCCUGGUAGUCCACGCUGUAAACGAUGUCGACUUGGAGGUUGUGCCCUUGAGGCGUGGCUUCCGGAGCUAACGCGUUAAGUCGACCGCCUGGGGAGUACGGCCGCAAGGUUAAAACUCAAAUGAAUUGACGGGGGCCCGCACAAGCGGUGGAGCAUGUGGUUUAAUUCGAUGCAACGCGAAGAACCUUACCUACUCUUGACAUCCAGAGAAUUCGCUAGAGAUAGCUUAGUGCCUUCGGGAACUCUGAGACAGGUGCUGCAUGGCUGUCGUCAGCUCGUGUUGUGAAAUGUUGGGUUAAGUCCCGCAACGAGCGCAACCCUUAUCCUUUGUUGCCAGCACGUAAUGGUGGGAACUCAAAGGAGACUGCCGGUGAUAAACCGGAGGAAAGGUGGGGACCCAGUCAUGUCAUCCCACCCUUACGAGUAGGGCCCCACACCUGCUACAAUGGGGAAUACAAAGAGAACGCAACUCGCGAGAACGACCGGACGUCACAAAGUAUUUCGUAGUCCGGAUCGGAGUAUGCAACUCGACACCAGGAAGUAGGAUGACCUUAGUAAUCUUAGUCAGACCCACACGUCAUGACAUUACCGGCCCUUUCCACACCCCCUGUCCCCCCAUGCGAGUGGGAACAAAAUCGUAGGUAACCAUCUUAGGUGGGCGCUAACCACGUUGGGCAGACGCU